rnacentral:lncRNA from 1 species
GUUUCCAAAUCUUUUAUUCUGGGAUGUUUAUUUUCAGCCAACUGCUCUCCCUACCUUCAUAUUAAAAAAUUCCAACAAAAAGGGAUCUUUUGUUCUGGGAUGCUUACAUGUGUAUCAAUUUUUUCUUUCUCUGAAUUUUUUUAAAAGGUCAAAAGAAAAAGAAAGAAAAUAAACAAACAACAGCUGCUGGCAAAAGAAAACAAAAGAAACGUAACAUGGGCUUAAAAAAGCAAAGCCCAGUAUUUAAGUGGAGAAGGGUAGAGAGGCCCAUUAUCCAC